rnacentral:rRNA from 1 species
UACAGGGGGGGCAAGCGUUGUUCGGAAUUACUGGGCGUAAAGGGUCUGUAGGUGGCCAACUAAGUCAAACGUGAAAUCCCUCAGCUUAACUGGGGAACUGCGUCUGAUACUGGAUGGCUCGAGUGUGGGAGAGGAAUGCGGAAUUCCAGGUGUAGCGGUGAAAUGCGUAGAUAUCUGGAGGAACACCGGUGGCGAAGGCGGCAUUCUGGACCACAACUGGCACUGAGAGACGAAAGCCAGGGGAGCAAACGGG